GGGCUACAGAUGUCACUAUCAACAAUGGACUGGACCCUAUAACAUCAAUUAGAAAUCAAGAAAACCCACAUGUCCAACUGGUGCAAAUAGUUCUUCAUUUGAGGUUCCCUCCUUCUUUCCAGUUCCCAUCUCCUUAUUCCUGCUGCCCUGCAUGCAAUUUGCUGCCAUGCUUUCCCACCACAAUGGACUCUCAUCCCUCUGGAACUGUAGAAGCUGUUCAGGAUUUCCCAGUUGUUGUGGACCAAGGCAGUGGAGAAUCAAGAAACAGUGAACAGUUUGGAGGAAGGUGACAUCACUUUCGGUGGGUUGUGUGAACCACUGAAGCUUCCCAGGCUGGAAGAUGGGCACAGUAGCCACAAGCCUUCAUGACACUGGAAAGCACAAGCCUCAGACAUGAAGCAAGAGCUGUGGUGAGGCUUCAUCCUGGAACUUCAGUGUGAGGCGUAGAGGA